AACCAUUGUCGGCCGAUUCAGUAAAUAUUUCUUUUAACAGAUAUUCUUCCGCAAUGGUUUCAAUCCAUUCAACCUCUUUAUUUUCUUCAUGAUCACUGGGUUGUUUGCCUAUACUAAAGACGUUCAGUUCCGAGGUCAUAUUGCCAAAAGAAAGCUUCAUGACACCAUUCCUACAAUUGAUCAAUGCAUUAGAAGUUGCAAGGAAUGGACGUCCUAAGAUGACCGAAAUCUGAGAUGGUGAACUGGAAGCCGGAUGUGUGUCCAGUACGAUAAAGUCGAUAGAAAAAUAGAACUUGUCUACUUGGACCAACACAUCUUC
rnacentral:lncRNA from 1 species